rnacentral:rRNA from 1 species
CCCUAUGGGGUGCACCAGGGGCUUCGGAGGCCAGGAAUUGAAGUGCUCAUUCAUUCCUCUUCUGUGUCUUGCGAUGGAAAAAGCGGGCCUUGAUCCGCUCGACGUGCUCAAGAAGAACUUCGUUAAACCCGGCGGAGGGUAUUACUGGCGGGACGGCAGCUGGUUCGAUUACCGGGGCAUCGACUAUUCCGCGGCAAUGAACAAAGGAGCAGAACAAUUCGGCUGGAAGGACAAGUGGAAGGGCUGGCUCAAGCCCACAGCGGUGAACGGUACGAAACGAAAAGGAAUUGGCGGGGGAGC